ACCACGCCCCGACUUGAACGGAGCUCUUUUUUUAUUGCAGCGCAGCGGAAAAAAAAAGAAGCGGGAGUGGAAGGCGGAAAAGGCG
rnacentral:misc_RNA from 1 species